ACACACCGAACACCGCGGCCAUUCUCACGACUCGGAGCUCCACCAUCACUGGGCUCAUUCCCAAACAUCGGCCAUUUCCCCCUAAAGCAGCCAGGAGCCGCCCCGCCCGGCCCCAGCGCCUCCCCGCUCCGGAGUGACGCGAGGCGACGAGAAGCAAACGGACUCCAAACUUGGCCGGAGAGCCUCAGCACGCAGAAGGCUGCAUACACAGCUCGAUUUACUCUACGGAGAGGCACGGAACGCACUUUCAUCCCCCGCAGCGGCCCCGGCCAACGGCCCUCGGACACCGCGACCCCAUAUCCCCGCGUCCCCAUAUCCCUGAAUGCCGAUAUCCCCGUAUCCCCGCAUCCCGCCGGGCGGGCGGCUGCUGCCCCCCAGAGGCGACGCGUGCCCAGCACGGCCACCCCGCACGAGGCGCCCGCAGUCUCUCGGAUGCUCGGUUUGCAGUUUCGAACAAGGUUUUUUUUUGUGCCUGUUGGUUUUGGGGGUUUUUUCUUUUUUUUUCCCCCCCUACAUGGCUGGCACUGGAAAGUUUUCCACUUUCUAUAUAAACGUUCACCGGCGCAAACCGAGAGACGGCAGCCGCCCCCCAAACACGCCCUGCUGUCUGAAACAACACCGCAAGAGCAAAAUAAGUAAGAAAAAAAGUAAAGCCUGCUCCUACCUGCCAUGGAACGAACGAUGAGAGCCGCCUCACGUCCCGCACGGCACCGCCCGUCCCUCCGAACGAACACAACUCCGCGUGGGGCAGCCGAGCCCCGCCGCCCGCUGCGCUUUAAGGGGAGCGGGGAGAUCCCACCCAGUGCGGGGUGGAGAAUGCCGGCUGGGAACGGGGCGAGCGCAGCUGGGUCACGGCCCUGCAGCUGCCUGCAGCCCGCAGGCUUCGCCGCGAGGCUCCUUUCCCCGGCGGUCUCUUGCAGCCCUUUUGGCUGCUGCUAGGUUAGCAACGGGAUCUGAGGACGGCAGUGCCACAUGCACGGCCCUGUGCCGUCAGGAUAUAAAUACGGGAAACGUAUCGUUUAGAUCAGCUGCAGGACAGAGAGGCAUGACGUGUAGAGGUACUUGAAGCGCUGGAGUUGCAACACUGAGAAAUCCCCGUUGAACUGGAGAGCGGCCCAGCUGCGUGAGAUCAGCACACGGCAGCGCCUCGCCGUUAUUCUCACCACAGGCAAUGAGGAGAAAUAAGCUAAACGUAACGCCGCUUCUGUUUCACACAGUAAGGAUUGCAAAUUCAUUCCGGACGGAGUGCUGGCACGGUUUGACUUGAGUUCCCAAUAAAAACCAAGCAAUCAGGUGCAGCUGGUCGAGGGCUGCCCCACACUGGAGCAAAGGGCAGGUGUGAGGCUGUGCUGGGGAGCAGCCCGAGCAGCCACCGCAGCGCUCCUUUGCUCUCAGCUGUGCCAGACCCGGGGGUGCCAGCAGCACAUCAGGGCUCUCCAUCAGUUAUUACCCCCACGUGUAUUUUCUCACAGUUUGGGGGCCUAUUCCCCUUUCUCUCAAGAUUUUUUUGUGUUAAACCUUGGCUGUGCAAAAUUUUCAUUAAAAAAUCAAUUUAAAG
ensembl:lncRNA